GACGAACGCUGGCGGCGUGCUUAACACAUGCAAGUCGAACGGAAAGGCCCUGCUUUUGUGGGGUGCUCGAGUGGCGAACGGGUGAGUAACACGUGAGUAACCUGCCCUUGACUUUGGGAUAACUUCAGGAAACUGGGGCUAAUACCGGAUAGGAGCUCCUGCUGCACGGUGGGGGUUGGAAAGUUUCGGCGGUUGGGGAUGGACUCGCGGCUUAUCAGCUUGUUGGUGGGGUAGUGGCUUACCAAGGCUUUGACGGGUAGCCGGCCUGAGAGGGUGACCGGCCACAUUGGGACUGAGAGACGGCCCAGACUCCUACGGGAGGCAGCAGUGGGGAGUAUUGCACAAUGGGCGGAAGCCUGAUGCAGCAGCGCCGCGUGCGGGAUGACGGCCUUCGGGUUGUGAACCGCUUUCGCCUGUGACGAAGCGUGAGUGACGGUAAUGGGUAAAGAAGCACCGGCUAACUACGUG
rnacentral:rRNA from 1 species